rnacentral:rRNA from 1 species
UACGUAGGUGGCAAGCGUUGUCCGGAUUUAUUGGGUUUAAAGGGUGCGUAGGUGGGUUGGUAAGUCAGUGGUGAAAUCUCCGGGCUUAACCUGGAAACUGCCAUUGAUACUAUCAAUCUUGAAUACCUUGGAGGUGAGCGGAAUAUGUCAUGUAGCGGUGAAAUGCUUAGAUAUGACAUAGAACACCAAUUGCGAAGGCAGCUCACUACACGGUCAUUGACACUGAGGCACGAAAGCGUGGGGAGCAAACAGG